rnacentral:rRNA from 1 species
CCCUUAGAUGUUCUGGGCCGCACGCGUGCUACACUGAGUAAUUCAAUGGGUAAGGGAACGCUAGAGCAUUACCUAAUCUUGAAAUUUGCUCGUGAUGGGGAUCGACGGUUGCAAUUUUCCGUCGUGAACGAGGAAUACCUUGUAGGCGCAUGUCAUCAUCAUGCGCCGAAUACGUCCCUGCCCUUUGUACACACCGCCCGUCGCUCCUACCGAUUGAAUGUUCCGGUGAGCUCUUCGGACUGCGCGGUCUGCAGUUUCUGCGUUCCGUGCGGAAAGUUGCGCAAACCUUAACAUUUAGAGGAAGGAGAAGUCGUAACA